AUGAACGCUAGCGGCAGGCUUAAUACAUGCAAGUCGAGGGGCAGCAGCUUUGUAGCAAUACAGGGGCUGGCGACCGGCAAACGGGUGCGGAACACGUACGCAACCUUCCUCUAACUGGAAGAUAGCCCACCGAAAGGUGGAUUAAUACUCCAUAACAUAUUGAAGAGGCAUCUCUUUGAUAUUAAAGCUCCGGCGGUUAAAGAUGGGCGUGCGUCUGAUUAGGUAGUUGGCGGGGUAACGGCCCACCAAGCCUUCGAUCAGUAGCUGAUGUGAGAGCAUGAUCAGCCACACGGGCACUGAGACACGGGCCCGACUCCUACGGGAGGCAGCAGUAAGGAAUAUUGGUCAAUGGACGCAAGUCUGAACCAGCCAUGCCGCGUGCAGGAAGAAGGCCUUCUGGGUUGUAAACUGCUUUUUAUCUGGGGAUAAAAAGGCCUUGCGAGGCAAACUGAAGGUACCAGAUGAAUAAGCCACGGCUAACUACGUG
rnacentral:rRNA from 1 species